AGAAGCAAGAAGCUGUCUUCCCGCCCCCGCGCGCCUGCAAUCAGCCCCAGUCGGCCUGGGAAACAGAGGAGCGCACCUGAGGUGGGUUCUGAGCUCCAGCGUUUGGGCUGGAAGUGGCGGACUAGUAGCUGCGGCGGCACUGGAGUGUAGGCGCGCGGGGUUGUUGCCAGGGGCAUAGCGUGAGAACAAGCAAGGGAGUCCUGCUGAAUUGCAGCUUAGGAAGCCCUGAAUCCCGGAGACGGAGUUUAGCUCUUGUUGCCCAGGCUGGAGUGCAAUGACGUGAGCUUGGCGCACCACAACCUCCAGACCUCCCAGGUUCAAGCGAUUCUCCUGCCUCAGCCUCCCGAGUAGCUGGGAUUACAGCAGUGAAGGCAGUGAAGGGGCUGUGGUGUGAUCCAGGAGGCUGAGAAUUGUGCAGUGGGUGCUGUCACCUUGAAGACAUCAGCGUGAUCAGGCAGAUCAUCAUGGUACUGCAUUUCCUGGACAUGAUCUUAAUUUUCUUAAUACCUCCACCAACAUUUCAAAUAUCCUCUGUAAUGCCCCAGAGGUUUUCUUAUGCCCCUAAGGUAGUUUUCUUUCUUUUGUGAAGCAGAAGAAGGGAAAUUGUUAAAGGGAAUCAUUUUAACUAAAUUUAUUUCCAUAAAACUAUCUUUGUCUUUAUAUCCCAUGGAAAGUGUUAGGCAGCCUCAGGAUUAUAUCUCAGUUGGAAAACUGCAGAUGUAAACCUUCUUGCUAUCUACAUACUUACAUAUUUUUCUGUUGUUAUUUGCUUACGAAUAGCAUUUUGACUACAGUAGAAAUAAAAUACAUUAAAUGAAUAAGCUCAGAAAUAAG